rnacentral:tRNA from 1 species
CAGGAAGUAGUUUAAUGAGAAUUUCAGCUUUGGGUGUUGAAGGUAGGACAUUAUGUCUUCUUCUUGA